AAUGCAGUCGAGCGGACAGAUGGGAGCUUGCUCCCUGAUGUUAGCGGCGGACGGGUGAGUAACACGUGGGUAACCUGCCUGUAAGACUGGGAUAACUCCGGGAAACCGGGGCUAAUACCGGAUGCUUGUUUGAACCGCAUGGUUCAAACAUAAAAGGUGGCUUCGGCUACCACUUACAGAUGGACCCGCGGCGCAUUAGCUAGUUGGUGAGGUAACGGCUCACCAAGGCAACGAUGCGUAGCCGACCUGAGAGGGUGAUCGGCCACACUGGGACUGAGACACGGCCCAGACUCCUACGGGAGGCAGCAGUAGGGAAUCUUCCGCAAUGGACGAAAGUCUGACGGAGCAACGCCGCGUGAGUGAUGAAGGUUUUCGGAUCGUAAAGCUCUGUUGUUAGGGAAGAACAAGUACCGUUCGAAUAGGGCGGUACCUUGACGGUACCUAACCAGAAAGCCACGGCUAACUACGUGCCAGCAGCCGCGGUAAUACGUAGGUGGCAAGCGUUGUCCGGAAUUAUUGGGCGUAAAGGGCUCGCAGGCGGUUCCUUAAGUCUGAUGUGAAAGCCCCCGGCUCAACCGGGGAGGGUCAUUGGAAACUGGGGAACUUGAGUGCAGAAGAGGAGAGUGGAAUUCCACGUGUAGCGGUGAAAUGCGUAGAGAUGUGGAGGAACACCAGUGGCGAAGGCGACUCUCUGGUCUGUAACUGACGCUGAGGAGCGAAAGCGUGGGGAGCGAACAGGAUUAGAUACCCUGGUAGUCCACGCCGUAAACGAUGAGUGCUAAGUGUUAGGGGGUUUCCGCCCCUUAGUGCUGCAGCUAACGCAUUAAGCACUCCGCCUGGGGAGUACGGUCGCAAGACUGAAACUCAAAGGAAUUGACGGGGGCCCGCACAAGCGGUGGAGCAUGUGGUUUAAUUCNAAGCAACGCGAAGAACCUUACCAGGUCUUGACAUCCUCUGACAAUCCUAGAGAUAGGACGUCCCCUUCGGGGGCAGAGUGACAGGUGGUGCAUGGUUGUCGUCAGCUCGUGUCGUGAGAUGUUGGGUUAAGUCCNGCAACAAGCGCAACCCUUGAUCUUAUUUGCC
rnacentral:rRNA from 1 species